rnacentral:rRNA from 1 species
GCCAGAUGAACGCUAGCUACAGGCUUACACAUGCAAGUCGAGGGGCAGCAUGGUCUUAGCUUGCUAAGGCCGAUGGCGACCGGCGCACGGGUGAGUAACACGUAUCCAACCUGCCGUCUACUCUUGGACAGCCUUCUGAAAGGAAGAUUAAUACAAGAUGGCAUCAUGAGUCCGCAUGUUCACAUGAUUAAAGGUAUUCCGGUAGACGAUGGGGAUGCGUUCCAUUAGAUAGUAGGCGGGGUAACGGCCCACCUAGUCUUCGAUGGAUAGGGGUUCUGAGAGGAAGGUCCCCCACAUUGGAACUGAGACACGGUCCAAACUCCUACGGGAGGCAGCAGUGAGGAAUAUUGGUCAAUGGGCGAGAGCCUGAACCAGCCAAGUAGCGUGAAGGAUGACUGCCCUAUGGGUUGUAAACUUCUUUUAUAAAGGAAUAAAGUCGGGUAUGGAUACCCGUUUGCAUGUACUUUAUGAAUAAGGAUCGGCUAACUCCGUGCCAGCAGCCGCGGUAAUACGGAGGAUCCGAGCGUUAUCCGGAUUUAUUGGGUUUAAAGGGAGCGUAGAUGGAUGUUUAAGUCAGUUGUGAAAGUUUGCGGCUCAACCGUAAAAUUGCAGUUGAUACUGGAUAUCUUGAGUGCAGUUGAGGCAGGCGGAAUUCGUGGUGUAGCGGUGAAAUGCUUAGAUAUCACGAAGAACUCCGAUUGCGAAGGCAGCCUGCUAAGCUGCAACUGACAUUGAGGCUCGAAAGUGUGGGUAUCAACAGGAUA